UUUAUGGAGAGUUUGAUCCUGGCUCAGGAUGAACGCUGGCGGCGUGCCUAAUACAUGCAAGUCGAGCGAACGGACGAGAAGCUUGCUUCUCUGAUGUUAGCGG
rnacentral:rRNA from 1 species